rnacentral:rRNA from 1 species
GGGGAAUAUUGGACAAUGGGCGGAAGCCUGAUCCAGCAACGCCGCGUGGGGGAUGACGGCCUUCGGGUUGUAAACCUCUUUCGCCUAGGACGAAGCGCAAGUGACGGUACUAGGUAAAGAAGCACCGGCCAACUACGUGCCAGCAGCCGCGGUAAUACGUAGGGUGCGAGCGUUGUCCGGAAUUAUUGGGCGUAAAGGGCUCGUAGGCGGUUUGUCGCGUCGGGAGUGAAAACCACAUGCUUAACAUGUGGCUUGCUUUCGAUACGGGCAGACUAGAGGUAUGCAGGGGAGAACGGAAUUCCUGGUGUAGCGGUGAAAUGCGCAGAUAUCAGGAGGAACACCGGUGGCGAAGGCGGUUCUCUGGGCAUUACCUGACGCUGAGGAGCGAAAGUGUGGGGAGCGAAC